ensembl:lncRNA
GAGCAGAGGGGCUCUGCUAUCUCCAGGGCCAGAACUCCUGCCACACAGGUACGUCCCUAAUCAGAACAAGUGAGGCAGUGUGGAUUCCUGAGUUGGGAUAUUUCAUGCCCAAGAAGUAAGUCAUUGAGUCCACGGGCACAUGCAUUUCCUUCUGUGAAUAGCUCUGACCCUUCCAUCCAUGAGCUCCAUUGCUGUCUUCUGCAAAACUCUUCCUUGCUGAGUCCUUUCCUUUUAUAUCAUGCCUGUUUCUUCAAAUAUCUUGUUAACCAAAAUUUCCUUCUCACUCUCCAUGUCAUGCGUACCUACCUGUACUGGCUUGAAGCAUUUAUUCUUUACUCAAAAUCAUAAUGAACAAGAUAUUUACUAGUAUACUUGGUUGCAACAUCAUGUCUUUUUACAUACAGAACUCUUUACAAGUACUUCCCUGUCUAUAUUAUCAAAUUUGACAGUGUGCCCCUGUUUUGGAAAAUGGCAGCUAACAUUUAUGAGUGCCUCCCAUGUGCCAUGGCACUAUUCUAAAUGUAGUAUGUGGGGCAACUCAUUGAAUCUUCGUAGUAAUCCAUUAAAAUGGCAGGAUUAUACCUAUUUUGCAGAUGGAGAAACUGAGGCCUAAGGAGGUUCAGGGCCAUCCUCCAGGUCACAUGACUAGAACGUCAUACAGCUGGAGGGCUGGUGAGACCAGCGUAUUUCUCCAAAAUAAGCCCGUGAAAGCAUCCUCUGACUCCUGACAAGGCCCAGUGGAGCGGCUCUACCACUUGGAGCAUCAAGCCUCUUCCUCCCUUGAAGAAUGUGCCUCAUGUUCCUACCCACAGGCUUGGACCUGGGGUGCUCCGUGUGUGGCCUGCCCCUGGAUUCUUUGUCUCCACAGGUAGCAUGAGCUCCUGCAGGAAGAAUCCUGAGAGAACUUCUCACCCCUCUGCCCCGUGAGGACACAACAAGAAGUCUGCAGUCUGGAAGAGAGCCCUCACUUGAGCAUGGUGACACCCUGAUCUUGGACUUCCAGCCUCCAGGACUGUGUGAAAUAAACUUGUGUUGGCUAUGAGCCAGCCAGUCUGUGCUAUGUUGUUAGAGCAGCCCAAACAGACUAAGACAGGUGGCAUCCAGUACUUCUUGAGCACUUCCUUGGCACCAGGCAUUGUAGUGUUAAUGGAAGUGAAACUGGGAGAAGUAGAACUGGUAACAGCAUUAGAUGUGGCACUGUUCGCCUGGCCGUGUCAGGUGGGACGACACUGAAGAUUAUGAGAAGCCAUCUAUAUUAGUUAUCUGUUGCUGUGUAAUAAUUAUCCUAAAAUUUCUUAAAACAGCAUGUAUGAAUUAGCUCACAGUUUCUCUGGGUCAGAAAUCCAGGCACAACUUACCCGAGUCCUCCAUCUCAGAGUCUGCAGGCUGCGUUCCCGGUCCAGCUGGGGCUGUGGUCAUCUCAGGCUCGAGAUGGGGAGGGGCCACUUUCAAGCUCACUGCCAUGGUUGUUGGUGGGAUUCCAUUCCACGCAGGCUGUUGGGCCGAGAGCCUCAGUUCUUCGCUGGUUGUUGGCUGGAGGGUUGCCCUCAGUUCCUGGCCACAGGGACACCUCCCCAGGGCAGCUCUCAGUGUGGCUUUCCUUAGAGUGAAUGAGUGAAAGAGCCACAGUGCCAGCAAGAGGGAAGUGAGAGUUUCACAUCCUCAUCUCAGAGGUGACAUCUCAUCACGUUUGCCGUGUUCUGCCAGAAAUGAGUCAGAGAGUGGAGUCUACACCCAAGGCCAGGGGAUUCCAUGCAGCAUGAGGACAUGAGCACCAGGAGGCGUGGAUGACUGGGGCUCUUAGAGGUUGCCUGCCAUAGCAGCAAGCUAGUUCCAAAGGCUCACUGUGGGUGGAAAUGAGCCCGCUCAAGAAUGACCCAGAAGUUGGGUGCGGCUGGGACUGCAGAGGAAGGACAAGGCUGGUGAUAUGCCCUGGGAGAGCCUGGAAAGACACUGAAGACACUUGGGAAGACACUGGCUUUCUGCCUCUCUUUCUUUUUAAACCGUGUUCUUAUAACCCCCUUGAGUUGCUUCCUCCGAGCUAUGGGAUCUGGGGAUAAUAUCCGCCUUCAUUUCUGAGGUAAUGAUCCGUGUCAUUGUCCUGAGUUAAUAUUUAUUGCACGGCGUGGGUCAGCACUUGGCACUCAAUGGACCUCAAUACAUAUUAAUAAAGAUGAGCCAAGUGUAUUAUUCAUCCCUUGCUGCUACUUGGUUUCAUCUGUGGUAGCGACAUGGGCAGUGUGCCAACACUGGAGUCGAUGGUGGAGAAUGCCAGGAAAGAUCCUCCCGUCAGAGCUGCCCCCGGGGUUUGCCAAGUGUGCAUGAAGCUCCAUGUGAACCCCAGCAUCCAACUAGAGAGAGUGGGGGAAGCGUGCGUGUGACCUUGAGCCUCAGUUCCCUCAUCUAUGAAGCAGGCAGGGUGAUUCUUACCUCACCGGAUGUCUUACUUCGGGUUGUCCCAGUGGCUGACCCUGAAACAAGAACUUAAGUGCAAAGAGUAUAUUCAGAAAGUGUUUCCAGGAGACAGCGAUAGGGGUGCGGCCAGGGAGGGCAUCUAAUAAUGGGUAGGUUGCCACUGUGGGUUCAUCAUCCCACUGGGAGCUCUGGGAGCCAGUGGAGAACUUGAUCUUCAAAGUGAUCCCACCCAAGAGGCGAGGGAGCUUGGCUAUUUGUAUACCACCUCCCUUCAGCCACUGGUAUGGCUAGUGUGUCCCGGAGUGUGGACAGGGACUGACGGCGUCUGCUACCUGGGGCGUCACUCAGGACCCCGGACGGCCUCUCUUGGUGCAGUUGUGUACAGCCUCCUCCUCUAGUCUGAGCUUCCUGGGGCCAUUUCUUUAGCCUCCUCCCCCCGGUGAGGCGCAUCUAGCCAGGACUCAGUGCAUGUCUUUUGAAUAAAUUGUUAUGGUUAGAAACAUGUAUUAAAUGUUUAGUGUCGUUUCCAACACUUAGAACGCACCCCAUGAACUUUUUGGCAUUUUAUGGCACUUUAUUGGGCCAGUGAAGAAGAGUGUGUACUUGGGUUCCUUUGACCUUUGAGAAGGAUCCGUAGCCCCUCGCCGACCUACAGAAAGCUUAUCCCCUUUAAUUCCCUGAUUCUCUGAGGCACAUCCAUAUAGUGAUUGGCAGUUUCCAGAUGGGUUCCCUAAGCAUCAUGCCCUUGAACUCUCGCAGGAGCCCUUGUGGGAGGGGGUGAUGGUGCUUUUCCUCUUGUGCGACGUGAGCCAGUCCAGCAGGCCUCCACUGUGUUUCCAAGCAGAGCUGACAUGUCUGCUGGCAGAUUCAUUCCCACUCGUUCACUUGCCUGGAACAAUAGGUACAUUUGCCUGUGUGGAUACAGACAGACUUGGGGACCAAGGAAAAGGGAAGGGAGAGGGAGAAACUGCUUGCCUUUCUCAAGAAAUGAGUCUGAUCACUUCACUUUUACACCCAAAGUCCUGGACAUUAUUAUUUUCUCCAGUUUAUAUGAGGACACUGAGACUUAGAUGGAUGAAAGGACUUUGCCAAGGUCACCCAGUUAGUAAAGUGUAGAACCAGUAUUAGAACCUGACUUUAUAUCCCCAUCUCUGUGCAUAGUGCCAUAGGUGCUAAACAGGUUAUUUUAAUUAACGUGAUCAGGCACAAAGUACCCUGAACUCUCUUAUAAGUUCUUGGUCCCUUAGAAAAGGAAUCUGCUGCUGUCCUUAAGGAGCCUAUAAGAUCUCUGGGGUAAUAGAAUACAUUCUUUGUAAUAGAAAAUUACGAAAGGGUGAGUCUGCAGGGCUAAAAUGUUGAAGAAUGUGUGUGCAUUAAGAGUCUUUUAGUUGCAAGUGGUAGAAACUCAACUCAAAAUGGCUUCAGGAGAAAAGAAUACAUGUAUUAGAACACUUAACUGAUUCAGAUAUGGCUGGAUCAAGGAGUUCAAAUAAUGCCAUUGGGUAUAUAUCUCCUUUUGUUUUAUUCUUGAUUCUUAACCAGUCUCUCCUCAGUAAGGGAAAAGAUGGGCACAGGCAUCUCCAGGGUCUACACCCUACCAGCUUGUCCACCCCAGAAUAAAAAUUGUGUCUAUUUCCCAACAUAGGUUUAACGAACAUCCUGAGGUACGGUAGUUGGCCCAGGUUGGGUGGUAUCUCAUUCUUGGAGCCUGGGGUUGGAGUUGAGCUUCAGAUAAAUCACCUGGACUGAUAAUUUGGAUGUGCUGGCUCCCUCAGAAGAAAAUUGGAGGUUAUUUCCAGAAGGAGUGAUUAAUGACAUAGGCAGGCAAUAAAACAAAAAACAUACUUUCACUACAGAUAGAAUAUUUGGAGUUUAAGAUUAACCCAUUUGUCCCGUUGUGAUCCCUGUCGGCUUCCUGGAGGAAGUAGAUCUUCCCUCUGGCCUUGAUAAACAUGGAGGGUAUUGUGGUGAGGAGAGAAACAGGAAAGGUAUUUCAGGCAGGGAGCCCCUUCUUCGCAAAGACCUAGAUGUGGGAAGAGGAUCAGUGUGCAGGGGCACUGAGGAGAGGGUUUGCCUUCAGAGAAAGGUUAGGGCUAGUGUCUCUUGAUUAGGUCCCUGCUGUGUGCCCACAAGUGAUCGAGCUCCUCGAAGGGCUAUGGAUAGUCGAGAGUCAUCACACAGUCUCUGGAGGCGGAUGCUUGAGUUUCAUCGUCAUUUUCAGGCUGUGUGAUAUUGGGCAAAAUCUUCACGUUCCAGGGCUCAGUCUCCUGUUCUGAAAAAUGGGAAUAAUAGUACCACCUCGCCAUAAGAAUUAAAGCCAGUGGGGGCCGGCCCAGUGGCACGGCGGUUAAGUGUGCACCUUCUGCUUCUCAGUGGCCCGGGCUUCGCCAGUUCGGAUGCCAGGUGUGGACAUGGCACAGCUUGGCAAGCCAUGCUGUGGUAGGCGUCCCAUGUAUAAAGUUGAGGAAGCUGGGCAAGGAUAUUAGCUCAGGGCCAGGCUUCCUCAGCAAAAAAGAGGAGGAUUGGAAGCAGUUAGCUCAGGGUUAAUCUCCUCAAAAAAAAAAAAAAGAAUUAAAGCCAGUGAUGCCCAGAGAGUGCUUAGCAUUGUGUCUGUCACAUUAAUAUUCGAUAAACAUAUUAUUUUUAUUUCCCUCAGUGACAUGAGGUUAGUUUGACUCCCCCCUUUCAGAUGAAGGUAAGUAACACGUGUAAUGUGCUCUGAAUCCAGAGACAUGGCCCUCCUCUUAUCAGAAAGCUCUUUGUUGGGGGGAAAGACAAUUAGAUAGCUAAGGCAGGGCUGAAUCGCGUGGAGUCUUACCUCGUCCUGACAGAGCUGUGCUCCCACCAUCCCAAAUCCAUGUCAAUGUGGGGUUUUUAGUCAGAAACACUUGCCUUUAGGUCCCACUUCUACCCUGUACUGGUUUUGUGACUCAUGAGCUACUCUCACCAUGCACAUUUUAGGAUAAGUGACAUCUUUCAAUAUCACACAGUUAAGAAGAUUCAAAGCCCAGAUUUGAAUGUUGGUCUUCUGAUUCCAGACAGGGGAAAUCACAAUCCAGGAUGUUUAACUCUAGGAAUCUCUAGAAAUUCAAGGGCUAAAAUGACACGGUAGCAACCUCCUCCAUCCAUAAAAGCCCUUAGGAAUUCAGGUAGCUCUUGGGGAAACCAAGGCCCCUCAUUGUCUCUCCACAACCCUUGGCCUCAUUCAGUCUCUGGGCCAACAGCUGAGCGCCCACCACAUGUGGACACUGUAGGAGGUAGGAGGCGACCUGUUGUUCAACACAUGACCCAGGACCCUCUGGCCUUCCUGGGGUCAAACGCAGCUUUUACUGCCCACGGCAUCCAUCUUAGGGUCACUCUUGAUUGCAGGAUGGGGUGUCAGAAGUCUACUCAGUCAUUCACACACAUUAACCCACUCAUCUGGAUUAUAUAGCUCUGCCGUUUUGAAAGCUCUCUCAUAUAUGUAUUUUCAUACCAUUCUCCUGGGAACAGCAAUACCUACCAUCCAUUGGAUAUUUACUGUGUGAGUCUGGCUCUCUGCUCAAGUCCUGAGGUAUGUAGACCCACCAGGUUGUUUAAAUGUCACCUUCUCAGUAUGACCUUCUUGACCACUCUAUUUAAAAUUGCCUGCAUCCUCCACCGCCCAUUAGCAUCCCCAGUCUCCUUCUUUCAGUUAAUUUUUCUCAGUAACAGUUACCUCUCCCUAACGUGGCAUCCAACGUAAUUAUUCAUUUCCUAGUGUCUGUCUUCUCCCACUGGGAUGUAAGUUCCACACAAGCAGUUGUUUCUGUUUUGAUUACUUCCAUGUGCCCAGAACCAAGCCUGGAAACUGGCAUUAUGGAUGAAUGAAUAAAUGAGCUUAAUAGUAACAAUAUCUCUGGGAGGUCAGUUGUAUUAUUACCCCACUUUACAGACGAUGAGGCUGAAGGUUAGGGGGAGUGCUUUGUUUUCAUUUUCAUUUUUAGUUAAUUUGCCCCCAAUGUCACAAAACAGGAGAGACCAGAAGAGAGACCCACGGCCAGGGUCUCUGGUUCCCAGUCCCCUGCUGUCUGAGCAGCCACGCGGAGGGAAACAAGUCAAUUCAGCGGCAGUCCUGUUUCAGUCAGCACUGCUGUUUAUGCUUGCAGUGUCCAUAAAAAUGUUAUUUUAGUCCUGACACUGAUGCUUAUGAAUAAAAUUUAGUCCUCAUUCAAAAGCACAUUAGCUGAAGCCCUUUGGCGUCCUGUUACAGCGUUAAUUUUUAUGGAGAAGAAUACACUGGUGAGGAGUACCUCAUCCACCUUCAAACAGAAGAAGCACCUCGAAGGCCAGGCCUGGUGACGCUCCUUCUGAUCAUAAGGCAUUCCGGCAUGUUGCUGCCGCUUUACUUAUGGGACCCGGGAUGUAAUUUUCAGAUGGUGGUUUGUUUUGCCACCGCGUUACAUCUCGGGCUUGGCAAUUACAUUUCAUUAACAGGGAAACAUAAGCCAUAAAUCAUUGAUCAGAAACAGGUUGUUAAUCGGUCUAGUUAAAGCGGCUGCCGGCUGGUAGGGCGCGGACUACAAAUUGAUGGAUGCCUGGGCUCAGAACUUGCCCAGGUAGCCCAUUAAAGCAAUACUGCUAAUAAUUUUCACUAAUAUUUAUUGAGCUAGAUUCCUAUGUGCCUGUAAGUGCUUUAUCCUCACAGCAACCCUAAAAGGACUAUUCCCAUAUUACAGAUGAGGAAAUUGAAUUCCAAAAUGGUUAAAUGAUUGGCGGCAGUUCACACACCUUGCACGAGGCAGGGUUUGGACUCUGAAGCUGGUGCUCUUAGUACAUUCCUCCUUCCUGAACUUCACCAUUGGAGGGGGAAAGGGGACCGCAUUUGAGGCCACUGGCCAAAUGUCUGACUUGCACACUGCUCCCCGUGGUGGCCCCUUUCUGGGGAACAGACCUAAGGCAACCACGAGGAGGUUUUGGGAGAAACGUAGAAUUUGCAAGACUGAAUUUUAAUCUGUGCCUACAAACAGCUGAAGUUGACCAGCACGGCCAGGCUGCAGGCUAAUUCAUCUGACUUCGUCUCCACACCUGUUGUCCGCGAGCAGAGUGGUGGCAGCUAGGCCCGUUCACAUCCUAUCAACCUGGUCUGUUGGAAUGACACCUGGCUGUGCUGAAGCCUUGGUUCCUGUCAUUAGGAAUGUAAACAACUCCAGCUUCCUCCCAUCAGUGCUGGCUCUGUGCCUGCCUCCAGGUCUCCCAGCCCCAGGCUGUGCCUCCUGAAACAGGUGCCCUCCCCAAGCUGAGGCCCCAUGGAACUGUGGGUGCCUUUUAUUUUGGGUCUAACAGUGACCUGUUGGUCCCCUUACCCUUUCUAAGUCAUGACCUCAGUUAAACUCAUAGUGACCUCACCUGGGUUAUUUAUUCCCAUUUUAUGGAUAAGAACAUGACUUUGGGAGAGAUUGAAUGCAUGAGCUAAGGUGACACAGCUACUUUAUCUCUGGGACAGGUUUGUUUUUUAAUCAUCAGAAGUCCAGAGUAUACAUUAGUGUUCACUCUUGGUGUCGUACAUUCUGUGUACAACAUAAAUUUGUUUGGACACAUUUCUAAAGACAUAUACCCACCAUCGUAGUAUCAUACAGAAUAGUUUCACUGCUCUAAAAAAUCUCUAUACUCUGCUGUUUCUCUCCCGGCCCCCCAACCCUGUGAAACAUGCAUCUUAUUACUGUUUCAGUAGUGUUCCCUUUUCCAGAAUAUCAUAUAGUUGGAAUUAUACAGUAUGUAGCCUUUUCAGAUUGGCUCCUUUCACUUAGUAAUAUGCAUUUAAGCUUCUUCCAUGUAUUUUCAUGACUUAAUAGCUCAUUUCUUUUCAGCACAGAAUAAUAUUCCAUUGUCUGGAUGUCCCACAGCUUAUUUAUCCAUUCACCUGUGGAACGACAUCUUGAUUGCCUGCAGGUUUCGGCAGUUAUGAAUAAAGCCUCUGUAAACAUCCGCGUGCAGGUUUUUGUGUGGACAUAAGUUUUCAGCUCCUUUGCGUAAAUACCAAGGAGCACAAUUGGUGGGUCCUUGGUAAGAGUAUGCUUAGUUUUGUGAGCAGCCGCCAAACUGUCUUCCACAGUGGCUGGACCAUUUUGCAUUCCCACCAGCAAUGAACAAGAGUUCCUGCUGCUCCUCAUCCUCACUCGCAUUUGGUGGUGUCAGUGGUCUGGAUUUGGCCAGUCUAAAAAACUUUUGAACCCAGAUGUUUUGGCUCUAAAUCCAGUGAACCUUCUAGUGGGAUAAUAAUGCGUAUCUAAUAGGACCAGUGUGAAGAUGAAAUGACAUCACACAUGUAUUAGGAAAAGGAGAAUAUCUAACCUUUGGCAUGUGCCUGGCGCUGUGCUAAGUGACAGGUGGACUUCAUCCUCACAAUAACCUCAGGACUCAGGUGCUGUUACUAUCUCCAUUUUGCAGAUAAAGACAGCAGCUCAGCGAGAUUAAGUGCUGUGCCCAAGGAUGUGUAGGGAGUGGCAGAGCCAGAUUGAAACCCAAAGCUGCCUGACUCUGGAGUCAGUGCCUUUAACCACUGGGCUCUGCCUUGCCUCGUAUAUAAGAUAGAUGUUCAAUAACAGUGUUGUUCUCCCUCAGGCACACAGCAGGAUCAGUUUCCAUUCAUUGCAGCAAAGGAUCCACUGUGAUGCCAGGGUCUCCAUCAGGUGGCCUGUGGUGGUCCUCCUUGUAGCUUUUGUUAUAAGACCCUGCGGUCAGCUCGCCAGCACACCCCAGCAGAGCCCCGAGUCCGUGCCUGCGGAGAAUACGGAAGCCCAGAGCAUCACCCUCCUCACAGCCUCAGCAUGCGCUCUGAAUCCUCGUAUCAUCAAUAACAUUGAUACCAACUAAUUUAAACCCACUGAACCAGUGAACUUGGGCUGCAGAUGUGUUUAUGAGCAGGAUACUAAGUAGCUAUUUUAACUAAGUGGAACAUUUCUUGCUUUAAUUAAUGAAAAGGUAGCAACUCUGAGGAAAUAUUAGGGGCAUUAAGUUUUAUAUUGGCGCCAUUUAUUAUAUAUGAUUUUUAACACUUUUAAUCACUUUAUUCCAUGUUGACAGCUACUGAGAGAAAAAGAGCUUUCCACGGUGAGUGUGACCCUGGAAUUACUGUCAAGCUGAGACAGAUGAUCAUUAACCCCUGAGUUGCCUUGGUCUUUUGAGGAAAUAGUGAGGAUUUUAUUAGUUUUAUUAAUGGCACUCGGGGAGAUCAAGUUAUUGAUUAGCAAAGAAUGAGUCCUUAACACGCACAUUUCUUGGAAAGGGUAAACGAAGUAGAAGGGAAUUAACAUUUAUUCAGCACCUACUGUGUGCCAGGUGUGUGCUGGGCUAUCUACAUACUGAAUUAAAUCUCCAAGCAGUCCUGUGAGGCUGGCUACAGUGAUGUCCAUUACACAGAGGAGGAAAUGGAAAGACUGAGAUACUUGCUCAUUCAGUAAAACUUUUGCACCCUGCUAGUUCACGACGGGGCUUAGAUCGUGAAUACUGUAGUACACUCCCUGCCCUCAGGAAGCUUCUAUUCUGGUGGGGGAACUAGAUAUUUAUGAUUAUUUUUGAUGAUUAUAAUAGUGAAACAAGUGCUGGGACAAGGAGAGAAUGGAGGUUCUCUGGGAACCUGGAAGAGGCAAACUUCAUUUAGACCUUAGGGUGAGAAGUUAAGGAGGGCUUCCUGGAGGAAGUGAUGUGUAAGCUGAGAUCUGGAUGAUGACCAGGGCUCAGCCAGGCAAACGGGAGGUGGAAGAGGGGUGGAAGUAUGUGCCAGGUAGAGGGAAUAUUAUGUACCAAGGCACAGCAGUAGGGCAGAACCACUAACUUCCCAAGGCUCAUGUCUCUAGUAUGUGACAAAGCUAAUGUCUGAAUCCAGGUUUAUCUGACGCUUUCUAUUGAAACCCAACACAAAAGGGAACCCAUGUUCUUCUUAGCCACAUAAUUAAAAUAUCUAGUCCUCAAAGGAAGCAUCCAAGUAGUCUGAGAUAUGCCAGCGGCUCCUAGUUCGUGCCUUGGUGGUCUGACAGUGACGUCCGUGGUCCCAGAGAGUCAGCAUCUUAGGGCUUUGAAGCUAGGCAUGAGAAUUGUUCUUGGCUUCCUUCAUGGUUUCUCACACAGCGAUUUAAGGCUUCAAGGGGAUGUCUCUGUAAAUGUUAGGUUGUGAGGAAGGAAUCCCCGGGCUCGCCAGCUCAAGCGCUUGUAAGGUGAGGGGAGCAUUUUGUCUUCGCGUUGGCGUGACUGAGGGUAAAGCAGUGCCAGCAGAACGGUGAUUCUUUCUCCACUGCCUGGCUCCGUCUUGCACCCUAUGUGGCCCAUUCCCAGGCAGGUGCUCCCCCUUGUGGGGUGGAUGGCUCUCGCCGUUGUGAUUCUUCAUAUUGUCGGUUGAAGUCCCGACCAUAUACGCAGGAUGGGGUGGGAUGUGAGCGACAACCUAAGCUCAGAUGGAAGCCCUGCCAUCUGAGACCCCUGGCUCUGAUUGGCAGGCUUCAGCUGUCUGCUCUCCCUGGAACCCUCGCUGUUGUGAAGGGAAUGCGAUAAGCUGAUUGGCUGAGGCCAGGCUUGGGGGCUCCACGCCAGCUGCACAGGGGCUGCGCGUGUCCAAGACACGGUUCCGGUGGGGGGAAAUGGGGCUGUAACUGAAAGGAUGGGGGGUGGAUCCCUGGCUCUUGCGAGACUACCUCAUGCCCUAAGGAUAUCAGUCCUCUCUUGAAAUCCCAGUGACACCCACGACAAACACCAGCCCUGGGGAAACGCUGAGGGGGAGCCUUAGCUGUUUCAGGGGUCGCGUGGAAGGAAGCCAGUCUGCUCUAGAAACCCCAACACCGGCGUUCCCGUGGAAGCUGCACUUCCCCGCGCUGUGACACCUCAGGCACAUCUUUUAGUCACUCCAGGCCUCAGCUUCCCUCUUUGUGAAAUAGGAAUGUUGAUCCUGGGUUUGCAGUGCUAUUGGUAGGAUAGAUGGGAUACGGGACAUAAAACCCCCGGUACCUGUCACACACCGUCCACGUGGUAACCGCCAGCAGAUCCAGUGAGCUGCCUGGCUUUGAGUCCUUCUGCUCCUCUUAGUACGUUAUUCAACUCCGUUAGCUGUAUGAUAUCUUCCUUUUUCCUAUUAUUACCUUAUCAUAUUUUUCUUUUUGUUCUAUGUAGUCUUGUUUGGUAUUUUUAAUCUUUUAGGUUUAUUUUUUCAAUCUUAUUAUAACUUAUUCUCUCUAUUU